AUUGAACGCUGGCGGCAUGCCUUACACAUGCAAGUCGAACGGCAGCACGGGUGCUUGCACCUGGUGGCGAGUGGCGAACGGGUGAGUAAUACAUCGGAACAUGUCCUGUAGUGGGGGAUAGCCCGGCGAAAGCCGGAUUAAUACCGCAUACGAUCUACGGAUGAAAGCGGGGGACCUUCGGGCCUCGCGCUAUAGGGUUGGCCGAUGGCGGAUUAGCUAGUUGGUGGGGUAAAGGCCUACCAAGGCGACGAUCAGUAGCUGGUCUGAGAGGACGACCGGCCACACUGGAACUGAGAUACGGCCCAGACUCCUACGGGAGGCAGAAGUAGGGAAGUUGCGGCAAUGGGCGAAAGCCUGACGGAGCAACGCCGCGUGAGUGAUGAAGGCCUGCGGAUAGUAAAACUCUGUUAUUAGGGAAGAACAAAUGUGGAAGUAACUAGGCGCGGCUUGACGGUACCGAAUCAGAAAGCCACGGCUAACUACGUG
rnacentral:rRNA from 1 species